AGAAGAGGCGAGAACGACCCCCAGACCGACCAAAGCCCGCGCGCGGCUGCAUCUGGCGUCCAGCACCUACGUCCUGCCGCCGUCGCCACCAUGCCCAAGAGAAAGGCUGAAGGGGAUGCUAAAGGAGAUAAAGCCAAGGUGAAGGACGAACCACAGAGAAGAUCCGCCAGGUUGUCUGCUAAACCUGCUCCUCCAAAGCCAGAGCCCAAGCCCAAAAAGGCCCCUGCAAAGAAGGGAGAGAUGGUACCCAAAGGGAGAAAGGGAAAAGCUGAUGCUGGCAAGGAGGGGAAUAACCCUGCAGAAAACGGAGAUGCCAAAACAGAGCAGGCACAGAAAGCUGAAGGUGCUGGAGAUGCCAAGUGAAGUGUGUGCAUUUUUGAUAACUGUGUACUUCUGGUGACUGUACAGUUUGAAAUACUAUUUUUAAUCAAGUUUUAUAAAAAAGCAGAAUUUUGUUGUUGUUGUUGUUUUAAAAAAAGUAGGCAUAUUCAUCCACUUUUGGGCCCGGAAGGCAAGGUCACCCAUGUUAAGCCCUUUAUCUGAGGAGAUCCCAUUUUCUCUGUGGGGAUGAGAUGCCCUAGAACACUGGGGCUUAAACCUCUCUGUCCUGCCGCCUUUUUGGUAGGGCCACUGCUCCUUUGAAAAUUAUCAAACACCAAGUGGAAAACUACUAGCCCAGUAUGAGCGGAUAAGUGGCUCAUUAAGAAGGAAAAAUUGCAACACAUCCAAUGUCUCGUACAAGAACUAGACGCUGGCCACAUUGAGCCUAGGACUAGUCCCUGGAACACUCCUAUUUUAACAUUCUUAAAAGGUCAGGAAAGUGGAGGUUAUUGUAGGACCUCUGUGCUAUUAAUGCUGUAAUGUUUCCUAUGGGGCCUUUGCAACCAGGAUUACCUUCUCCGGUUAUGAUCCCCAAAGACUGGCCUCUUAUUGUAGUUGACCUAAAGGAUUUUUUUUUAAACCAUACCCUUGCAUCCUGAGGAUCGAGAAAAUUUUGCUUUUAUUGUCUCCACUUAUAAUACUCUGCAACCAGUUUAAUGUUAUCAAUGGACAGUUCUACCCCAGGGGAUCAUGAAUAGCCCUACUAUAUGUCAGCUUUAUAUACAUGAAGACUUACUUCCUGUGCAUCAAUCCUUCCCCUAGGCAAAAAUUUUCCACUAUAUGGAUGAUAUUUUGAUAGCUGCUCAGCAUCAGUCAUUACUGCAUCAACUUCAUGCAAUGGUAGUACAGCAUAUGUUACAAUAUGGUCUCGUUAUUGCACAAGAAAAAGUCCAGCUGAUGGUUCUGUGGCUCUAUAUAGGAAGUCUUAUUUUAUCUACUACGCUCAGGCCACAACUUACGAAAAUAAUUCUUCCACAGCACUUAACCCUUAAUACAUGACAGCGAGUCCUACGAAAGAUUAGUUGGAUACGUCCCUAUUUAGGUAUUCCUGCAAAUUACUUGACUA